GGCUGUUCGCCAUUUAAAGUGGUACGCGAGCUGGGUUUAGAACGUCGUGAGACAGUUCGGUCCCUAUCUGCCGUGGGCGCUGGAGAACUGAGGGGGGCUGCUCCUAGUACGAGAGGACCGGAGUGGACGCAUCACUGGUGUUCGGGUUGUCAUGCCAAUGGCACUGCCCGGUAGCUAAAUGCGGAAGAGAUAAGUGCUGAAAGCAUCUAAGCACGAAACUUGCCCCGAGAUGAGUUCUCCCUGAGACUUWRAGUCUCCUGAAGGAACGUUGAAGACGACGACGUUGAUAGGCCGGGUGUGUAAGCGCAGCGAUGCGUUGAGCUAACCGGUACUAAUGAACCGUGAGGCUUAACCUU
rnacentral:rRNA from 1 species